CCAGACUCCUACGGGAGGCAGCAGUGAGGAAUAUUGGUCAAUGGCCGAGAGGCUGAACCAGCCAAGUCGCGUGAGGGAAGACGGCCCUACGGGUUGUAAACCUCUUUUGUCGGGGAGCAAAGAGAGUCACGUGUGACUCAUUGAGAGUACCCGAAGAAAAAGCAUCGGCUAACUCCGUGCCAGCAGCCGCGGUAAUACGUAGGGGGCGAGCGUUAUCCGGAUUCAUUGGGCGUAAAGCGCGCGUAGGCGGCCGCCUAAGCGGGACCUCUAACCCCGGGGCUCAACCCCGGGCCGGGUCCCGGACUGGGCGGCUCGAGUGCGGUAGAGGAGAGCGGAAUUCCCGGUGUAGCGGUGGAAUGCGCAGAUAUCGGGAAGAACACCGAUGGCGAAGGCAGCUCUCUGGGCCGUCACUGACGCUGAGGCGCGAAAGCUGGGGGAGCGAACAGGAUUAGAUACCCCUGUA
rnacentral:rRNA from 1 species